rnacentral:rRNA from 1 species
UACGGAGGGGGCUAGCGUUGUUCGGAAUUACUGGGCGUAAAGCGCACGUAGGCGGCUUUGUAAGUUAGAGGUGAAAGCCCAGGGCUUAACCCUGGAAUUGCCUUUAAGACUGCAUCGCUAGAAUCGUGGAGAGGUAAGUGGAAUUCCGAGUGUAGAGGUGAAAUUCGUAGAUAUUCGGAAGAACACCAGUGGCGAAGGCGACUUACUGGACACGUAUUGACGCUGAGGCACGAAGGCCAGGGGAGCAAACGGG